rnacentral:rRNA from 1 species
UAGGGAAUCUUCCGCAAUGGACGAAAGUCUGACGGAGCAACGCCGCGUGAGUGAAGAAGGAUUUCGGUUCGUAAAACUCUGUUGUUAGGGAAGAAAAAAUGUAUAGUAACUAUAUACAAAAGAGACGGUACCUAACCAGAAAGCCACGGCUAACUACGUGCCAGCAGCCGCGGUAAUACGUAGGUGGCAAGCGUUGUCCGGAAUUAUUGGGCGUAAAGCGCGCGCAGGUGGUUUAGAAAGUCUGAUGUGAAAGCCCACGGGUCAACCGUGGAGGGUCAUUGGAAACUAAUAAACUUGAGUGCAGGAGAGAAAAGUGGAAUUCCUAGUGUAGCGGUGGAAUGCGUAGAGAUUAGGGGGAACACCGGUGGCGAAAGCGGCUUUUUGGCCUGCAACUGACACUGAGGCGCGAAAGCGUGGGGGGCAAACAGG